rnacentral:lncRNA from 12 species
AGUAAUAGGGAUUUAUUUAAUCUUCCAAUCUUUCUUGAAUGCAAGGGAAAAUAAUUUUAUUUGUUCUUCUGUAGAAAGGAAGAAACAAAAGAAAGAAAGAGAAAGAAAGAAGAAAGAAAGAAAGAAAGAAAGAAAGAAAGAAAGAAAGAAAGAAAGAAAAGAAAGAAGGAAAGAAAGACACCAAAACAGUUAAGAAUCACGUGGAAAAACAUGAACACAAGAACAGACUCGAGAAUGGAGGAAGGUAUUUCUGAAUAGAUUUGAUUAGCAUGCCUCUUUCCCAGAAUAUUUCUGCAAUGAUUCAGGUAAGGAAAUUGCUGUAUUACUGAAGUCCAAAAAC